rnacentral:lncRNA from 1 species
UUUUUUUUUUUGAGGUUCACGGAAACGAAGCUUUGGUGACACUCCUCGUUUAGUUGGGGAAUAUGGCCUUCAUCCGGCCGCUGAGCGGGCCCCCACCAUAAGUUUUCAAAGCCUAUGGACAGCCCAUGCUUCCUGCUACAGAGACGCUGGGCCGGGCCUACUCAGAAGGGCCACAUUUGUUCCUAGUUCAUUUUGUUUGGGCGUUUGGCGGCGAGUAAAAAACAAGUGUCUUGAGUCAGUUCAUACCUGCAGCGUUCCCAGACGUGACAGCAAAAAAAAAAACACGCUAAGAGUUUUCUAAAAAAAUUCUUUCCCAAAACUAUUUAUGGGAAGCUCUACUAUUUUUUUCCUUAAAAAUCAUAUCAUCCCACAGCAGAUUCCUAAUAAUAAACUCCCCAAUACUUCAAAACUGACCACAUCAGCACGUGUGGACCUCUCAGUUGAGCCGCCAUCACCUCUCCC